UACGUAGGGUGCGAGCGUUGUCCGGAUUUAUUGGGCGUAAAGAGCUCGUAGGCGGUUUGUCGCGUCGGCCGUGAAAUCUCCACGUUUAACGUGGAGCGUGCGGUCGAUACGGGCAGACUUGAGUUCGGUAGGGGAGACUGGAAUUCCUGGUGUAGCGGUGAAAUGCGCAGAUAUCAGGAGGAACACCGGUGGGCGAAGGCGGGUCUCUGGGC
rnacentral:rRNA from 1 species